rnacentral:ncRNA from 1 species
UCGUUGGACACGGGGUGCCGUACGUAGCGGCUGAGAUCACACCCGUUGAACCUGCUCCAGGUCGCGCUGGCGAACGGAUCGCCUGGUCCGCGCCC